rnacentral:rRNA from 1 species
AACGAACGCUGGCGGCAGGCUUAACACAUGCAAGUCGAACGCCCCGCAAGGGGAGUGGCAGACGGGUGAGUAACGCGUGGGAAUCUACCCAGUUCUACGGAAUAACCCAGGGAAACUUGGACUAGUACCGUAUACGCCCUACGGGGGAAAGAUUUAUCGGAAUUGGAUGAGCCCGAGUUGGAUUAGCUAGUUGGUGGGGUAACGGCCUACCAAGGCGACGAUCCAUAGCUGGACUGAGAGGAUGAUCAGCGACACAGGGACUGAGACACGGCCCAGACUCCUAUGUGAGGCAGCAGUGGGGAAUAUUGGACAAUGGGCGAAAGCCUGAUCCAGCCAUGCCGCGUGAGUGAUGAAGGCCUUAGGGUUGUAAAGCUCUUUCAGUGGGGAAGAUGAUGACGCUACCCACAGAAGAAGCCCCGGCUAACUUCGUGCCAGCCGCCGCAGUAAGAC